GGUUGGUGGCAUUGCCCCACGGCUCUCCUGCCCCGCAGCGGCGUGCAAUCGUCGGGGGCGUGUGCCCGGUGCUGAGGACCUGCGGGCGCUGGGCAGCGGGGAUCCGCGGCGGGAGCGGGAAGCGCGGGGUCCUGGGUGGCCGCCGCGAGCUGGGAAGCUGUCUGGUCCAGCUUGGGCAAUUUGUGAUGGCGCAGAAAGAGGUUGUCUUGGCCUUCAGACCGGAUUUCUUGGACCCCAGUCUCCUCGUCUCCCUCCAUUUUACAACCAUGGAUGCCAUACUUCCUAAAAAAAUCUAUACAACCAACCACCACACAUCUCGUAUGCAUCUUGCAGACAGGGAAAUAAUGAGAAAGGAGUAAGUUAACCUGUGAGAAGACUGCUCAAUGAACAAAGUGUUUAAACCACUCCCACAAGCCCGAGGAUGGGGGU
rnacentral:lncRNA from 1 species